AAUUACUUGCAUAUUAAAAUAUUGUAUAUUUAUUUAAAAAUAUAGCAUUGAAUUCAAUAAGAUUAACUUCAGAUUAUUAAGAUCAUUAAUGGUACAGUUAUUUGUGCUACAUUUGUGUAGCAUGCUAACAUGUCAUUUUGAAUUCAACCAGUGAGUACAAAAAUGGUACAUGCCCUGAUCUGCCCUACGACACAGUGCACACAGCUAUAAGUGUGGUCUAUAAGUACACUUUCAUCUACAUAAACGAAACUGCACAAUAUAUUAAAACAUUUCCUGUGGUCUAAUGUACUAAUCCUCUCAUUGUGUGAGUCUUGUUUUGUCUCUUUUCUCACGCUCGAUGUAAUGGAGUUUUUCAUCUUCAUAGUUUUUCAGCUCCUGAUGGAGUUUCAGUCCUACAUUUCAACAUCAAAUACCACUGAACAAACUAUUACAGCAGCCAUGAAAACCUGUGAGUAAUUGAGUUUGUAAAUCAGUUAUUCUUACUCCAUUCCAUGUCCUCAAAAUGACAAUCAAGCUUUCAAGCUCAUGACUA
ensembl:lncRNA